UUCAGUGUUGUUUUUGAUGGCGAGUGCAAGCAAGUACGGCCCACUUGUUGGGGCAGUGGACCAAGGUACGAGCAGUACACGAUUUUUGGUCUUUGAUAGUCGAACUGCAGAACUACUGACAUAUCACCAAACAGACAUAAAACAGUUCUUCCCAAAAGAAGGAUGGGUGGAAGAGGACCCAAAAGAAAUACUAGCAUCUGUGCAUCUAUGUAUCGAAAAAACAGUGGAAAAUCUAAAAGGGUUGGGUGUGGACCCCACAGAAAUCAAAGCUAUUGGAAUCACAAACCAGAGGGAAACUACAAUUGUGUGGGAUAAGUUGACUGGUGAACCACUACAUAAUGCCAUAGUCUGGCUUGAUGCAAGAACUGCUAGCACAGUGGAGAAACUAAGGGAUAAAAUACCAGGGAGAAAUAAAGAAUUCCUCAAGACAAAAUGUGGCCUGCCACUGAGCACCUAUUUCAGUGCAGUGAAACUAAAGUGGAUGCUGGACAACUGCCAGCAGGUAGUGACAGCUAUCAAUGAGAAGCGAUGCCUGUUUGGCACCGUAGAUUCUUGGCUCAUGUGGAACUUGACUGGAGGAACUAAAGGGGGACUACAUAUCACCGACGUGACGAAUGCCAGUCGGACAAUGCUGAUGAGCAUACAUAACCACAAGUGGGAUGCCGAACUGUGUAGGUUCUUUAGUGUACCAAUGGAUAUCUUGCCAGAAAUCAGAAGCUGCUCAGAGAUUUACAGUGUCAUGUCAGAAGGUUCUUUGAAAGGGAUACCUAUAUCUGGGAUACUUGGUGAUCAGCAGUCAGCACUGGUGGGACAAGCAUGCUUUAAGGAAGGGCAAGCUAAGAAUACGUAUGGAACAGGCUGUUUUCUCUUAUACAACACUGGUCAGCAGCCAGUCAUCUCUGAGCAUGGAUUAUUGACUACUGUCGCAUACCAGCUUGGCAGAAAGCAGCCUGUCAUUUAUGCACUUGAGGGAUCAGUGGCUAUCGCUGGUGCUUGCAUUCGCUGGCUCAAGGACAAUAUGGGCAUCAUAGAAAAAUCUUCUGAUAUAGAGAAGCUCGCAUCUACAGUGAAGGAUACAGCUGGUACAUACUUUGUACCAGCUUUCUCUGGACUCUAUGCACCAUACUGGCAAACUGAUGCAAGAGGGAUAAUAUGUGGGCUGACACAGUUUACAACCAAGGCUCACAUAGCUAGGGCUGCUCUAGAGGCCGUGUGCUUCCAGACCAAAGAAAUUUUAGAUGCAAUGAACCAGGACAGUGGAAUCCCUAUUCCCUCGCUACAGGUGGAUGGAGGAAUGACGGAGAACCCCCUGCUCAUGCAGAUACAAGCAGAUCUGCUGGGCAUACCUGUCAUUAGACCAUCAAUGCCAGAGACAACAGCACUGGGUGCUGCCAUUGCUGCGGGAGCAGCAGAGGGUGUACAGGUGUGGAAGGUGGGGGACAAGCUCGAUUCAUGUACCGCCAUUACUACAUAUACCUACAACCCAUCAAUCGGCGACUCUGAACGAGAGAAGAGAUAUGCAAAAUGGAAAAGGGCUGUAGAGAGAAGCAUGCAUUGGCAAUCAGAUGAGGAGGACAGCACCGAAGGUAAUUGCAUGUAAAGUUGCAUGCAGGACAGAUGUCAAAAAUAUGGUAUGCCGCACACUGCCAUUUGGACUCUUUUUCUUCUCCAACUUUGUGUUAAUGAGAAUGAUGUCAUUGUGGAGAGAGACCAGUUGAUACUCAAGCAGCAUUAGCUUAUGUAUAACCCAAAUUAGCAUACUAAAUUACUGAAAGUAAUUGUUGUAUAAUUGUAAUAAUUGUAUAAUAUCAGUAGAUUAUUGAUCAAUGAGUUGUAAACAUUAGUUUCUGCAUGUAGCUUGGCGAGAAAGGAAAUAGGAGUAAUAAUAUAUUAUAGGAAAGCAUUAUUUUAGGGUUAUCACUUGCCAAGCUGUAACCUAACUAGUUAUUACAAAAGGGAUGGUACAAACAGCAACACUAAUUGGAUAUAUGCUUCAAAACACUACUGCCAGCUUUACCAACUGCCAAUGUUUUUGGUUGUCUAUACAGCCUAUGCCAUAUAGUCGUUUAUUCCCCAUGGACAUCUGCCAAUCCACCAAAUCCAAAUUGGCAUACAAUUUGUACAUUGGUAGAAAAUGUGGCAAUGAUGAUUCAGCCUUGCCUGGGUAAAAUGUGUUAUGUUACAUUUCUGUUGUCCGCUUUUGCAUAUUGCACAAUAUAGUCUCAUGGCAAAUUUAUUAACUUUUAAUUUUGUUUUAGCGAUUUCAUAUCAAGCUUCUGCGCUACUUGUAAAAUGCUCAACAUGAAGAUUAUACUCUGCGUGUGCAAAUAUUUUGCAGAUCACAUUGCGAUGUGUGUAUUUUGAUGUCAAUAAUUACAUUGUGUUAUGUUUAUUUCCUUCUUCUGCUUUAAUGUACACAUUGACAUUAUUUUUCCAUGUGCAAUCUGUUAAUAUGUCAAGAGUCCAUUAAUUCAGUCUAGAGAUUCACUCUGUUCGCUGUUUUCAAACCCUCGUUAGUCUGAAGAUGUUACCAGUGAAUGGGCUGCGCAUAAUUAAUUAACACAUUGUUCUUGAUAUAUAUAUGAUAUGAUAGGAGAUAGUACAUCUUUGUAUUUGCUCACUGCUGUAGUAAGGUAGUAAAAUGUAGGUGACGGCACGUGGCGCUGUGGAAAUGCUGCCACAAUUUAUCACCAGCAUGGGUGCUAUAGAAGACAUUUACUACCACAAUGUUCGAGAGGUAAGACUAGGCAUCGUAGUGUUGUAACAUAUUGUUCCUCACCUGAGGGAUGGUGCUCUUAGCCUUAGACGUGUAUUAUAAUGUAAUGAAUAUGAUCGUGUGUAGGUACUUUUGUAGAUCACGAUAUUGGAGAAUAAAGGUUAUCUGAUUUGA